rnacentral:rRNA from 1 species
AUACGGAGGAUGCGAGCGUUAUCCGGAUUUAUUGGGUUUAAAGGGAGCGUAGGUGGGAUAUUAAGUCAGCUGUGAAAGUUUGGGGCUCAACCUUAAAAUUGCAGUUGAUACUGGUUUCCUUGAGUACGGUACAGGUGGGCGGAAUUCGUGGUGUAGCGGUGAAAUGCUUAGAUAUCACGAAGAACUCCGAUCGCGAAGGCAGCUCACCGGGCCGGAACUGACACUGAUGCUCGAAAGUGCGGGUAUCAAACGGGAUUAGAUACCCUGGUAGUCCGCACAGUAAACGAUGAAUACUCGCUGUUUGCGAUACACUGUAAGCGGCCAAGCGAAAGCGUUAAGUAUUCCACCUGGGGAGUACGCCGGCAACGGUGAAACUCAAAGGAAUUGACGGGG